rnacentral:lncRNA from 9 species
AGGGCGCUCGCGCGGCGCCUCGGCCCGGGUCGCAUCCCUUCCCGCUCACACUCGCCCGGAAUGUGGGGUUGUGAUUGUUACUCUACGUUCCGGAGGCGCGUCUCGGCGCUCCCGCUCGCGCUGCGGCUCGCGCUGUCCCGGGCUUGGCCGCGCGGGAUGCCGCCCGGGCGGAGCGCUGACGUCACCGCCAUGCUCUGCACCAGUUCUCCCCCCCUCCCCUUUACACUUCCUCUGUGGAGCCCACUUGUUGCUCGGGAAAGGCGCAUGCGCGGCAGAGAGCCCAGAUUCCUCCCAGUCGGCCCCUCCUCCGCGCCUCCGCCCUCCCCUCCCCCCUCGCCGUGUGUGUACAACAGCUGAGGCCCCGCGAGCUAAGGCUGGAAGUCCAGGGCUGGGGGUGGAAAUUAAACAGACGAUGACCUUUCCUUUCCCCGCCCGGCUUUCCCAAGUAAAAACGCAUUUAAAAACCACAAGCGUCGUUUCCGAUCCCGCUCCCCACCCCACCCCUGGCAGCGGAUUUAAAUGUCCUGUUUCAAGAUUUUCGCCUUGAAUUCCACGAACCUGCGCUUCAACAACGGAGCUAAAUGAAUUCAGGGGGAGAUACCCCUCCCCCAAGCCGCACUCUAAAAAUUUUGGCUGAAUGUCUAAAGAAGCUAUGAGCACCCGGAGGCCUUUAAGGAAAACAGUCCACUGGCUGCACACAGCUGCAGCUGGGGGCAGGGAGGGGGAGGUGCUGGAGAGACCAAACAGACCUGAUCGGCAGGGUGAAUCAUGUCAGGACUUUGCACUGGACCCGCAGCCUGGAAGCCAAGAAGAACAGACACACAAAACAUCCCCGUGGCUGGGAGGUACCUUUCUGAAAGAGGCAGGAGAUAGAUAUUUGCUCUUACCAGAUUCCUCUCCAUCAGGAUUUUUUUCUCAACUUCAUUGCAAGAUGGAGUAAAAAAAAAAAAAAAAAAAAAGUCUGAUAAAGAAAAACCAGGGAUAGAAAACACCCCAUAAAACGUACCCCCAAAGGGAAGGUGCAAAACCCAUUUGAUCCAAUGUAUAGAUAUCUCCACCCUGGAUUUUCUUUUUUUUCUUUUUUCUUUUUUUUUUUUUUUUACCUUUGCUUUACAACUCUGCAGACAUCAGGUUAGCAAAAGGUAAUAAAUAGUCCUUGCACAGCAGGGUCUGGACUAGUGAAAACAGUUUACUGAAAUUAAUGGGCCUCGCUUGAACCAAAACCUCCACUUUGGAAUUAAUGCCAGACAUAGUUUUCCUGAACUCUAUCCAACCGCCUAAGCAGCAGACAAUUUUCGUUCUAUUUGUGCUAGAAAAUAAAGCCCGGGCUCUUGAUCUCAGUGUAGAUUAUAAUUUUUUUUUUUAAUUCAGCAGAGUGAACGCAAUGCCAAUUUCCAGUUUUUGCUAGUAGAAGCCCUAGUGCUCUGGGGUGCCUGACAGUCAGAAGUUAUCUGGUAAACUUUCCAUUGAAAACCAUCUCGGAGCUCCCUCCCCAUCGGUGGCCUCAGAGCUCUGACCACGACACCCCCACCCGAGAGAUUCAAGGAAAGCUCUAGAAACAGGCUCUGUUCUCAAUAACAGCCCUCUUCCCGAGGGCUCUUAGAAAGGCUGGAUCUGAACAACGCUGCCUGCGUGACCUCAAUUCCCCAUCCUAAAUGAAGCUCCAAAGCACCCAAGGGAAACCCACCCCCUACCCAGACCCCGCUAUUCAGGGUGUCUACAGUUCUGAAGCUGCUCGUAUUUUUAUUAAUGUAUUUUUAAGGCUGAAAGGCACACACGCGCACACUCCACAUAGGUUCACGCCCAGUGGUUAUGGCAGGUACAGCGGAGCCUGGUGCCCCGGCUGUCAGUGUCUGAUCCCAGCCUGCCCUCCCUCCCCCCACUAUUAAUAAAAGCCUGGUCAUGGGUAGCCGGCGUUCUGGUUUUCAUUGUACAGUCUGCACUGGUGACACAGGACAUGUGGAAAAUUUUGAGAGCACUGCGGUGAAUGGCGUGGAGGGGGAGCGUGAGCGGGGG